rnacentral:rRNA from 1 species
UACGUAGGGACCAAGCGUUGUCCGGAAUCAUUGGGCGUAAAGAGCGUGUAGGCGGCUUGUUAAGUCUUGCGUGAAAUCUCGGGGCUCAACCCCGAGCGGUCGUGAGAAACUGGCAGGCUAGAGCGCGGGAGAGGAGGGUGGAAUUCCUGGUGUAGCGGUGAAAUGCGCAGAUAUCAGGAAGAACACCCGUGGCGAAGGCGGCUCUCUGGAACGCAACUGACGCUGAGACGCGAAAGCGUGGGGAGCAAACAGG